AGUGAACGCUGGCGGUGGGCCUAACACAUGCAAGUCGAACGGCAGCACAGUAAGAGCUUGCUCUUACGGGUGGCGAGUGGCGGACGGGUGAGGGAUACAUCGGAAUCUACUUUUUCGUGGGGGAUAACGUAGGGAAACUUACGCUAAUACCGCAUACGACCUACGGGUGAAAGCAGGGGAUCUUCGGACCUUGCGCGAUUGAAUGAGCCGAUGUCGGAUUAGCUAGUUGGCGGGGUAAAGGCCCACCAAGGCGACGAUCCGUAGCUGGUCUGAGAGGAUGAUCAGCCACACUGGAACUGAGACACGGUCCAGACUCCUACGGGAGGCAGCAGUGGGGAAUAUUGGACAAUGGGCGCAAGCCUGAUCCAGCCAUACCGCGUGGGUGAAGAAGGCCUUCGGGUUGUAAAGCCCUUUUGUUGGGAAAGAAAAGCAGCAGGUUAAUACCCCGCUGUUCUGACGGUACCCAAAGAAUAAGCACCGGCUAACUUCGUG
rnacentral:rRNA from 1 species